AGCUCCAAUAGCGUAUAUUAAAGUUGUUGCAGUUAAAACGUUCGUAGUUGAAAUUCUGCUAAUGAGAACGGGUCAUCUCGUUGAGUAUGUACUUGUUGUCAUUGGCAUUAGUCCGAAUAAAUAGCAGGCAACUGCUGAAUAUUCGGAGUUGUUACUUUGAGAAAAUUAGAGUGUUUCAAGCAAGCUUAAUGCCUUGAAUACUCCAGCAUGGAAUAACAAGCAAGGACUCAGAUCUUUCUUGUUGGUUUAAGGACUGAGUAAUGAUUAAAAGGAACGGUCGGGGGUAUUCGUACUUAGUCGUCAGAGGUGAAAUUCUUAGAUUGACUAAAGACGAACUACUGCGAAGGCAUCUAUCAUGGAUGUUUUCA
rnacentral:rRNA from 1 species